rnacentral:tRNA from 1 species
GGGCCGUUAGCUCAGGGGCUCAACGAGAACCGUUGAACCGAGAAAUUAGGUAGAGCGUCUGGCUUUUAACCAGGCGGUCGCGGGUUCAAAUCCCGUACGGCCCGCCA